rnacentral:rRNA from 1 species
GACGAACGCUGGCGGCGUGCUUAACACAUGCAAGUCGAACGGAAAGGCCCUGCUUUUGUGGGGUGCUCGAGUGGCGAACGGGUGAGUAACACGUGAGUAACCUGCCCUUUACUUUGGGAUAACUUCAGGAAACUGGGGCUAAUACCGGAUAGGAGCUCCUGCUGCAUGGUGGGGGUUGGACAGUUUCGGCGGUUGGGGAUGGACUCGCGGCUUAUCAGCUUGUUGGUGGGGUAGUGGCUUACCAAGGCUUUGACGGGUAGCCGGCCUGAGAGGGUGACCGGCCACAUUGGGACUGAGAUACGGCCCAGACGCCUACGGGAGGCAGCAGGGGGGAAUAUGGCACAAUGGGCGGAAGCCCGAUGCAGCAACGCCGCGUGCGGGAUGACGGCCUUCGGGUUGUAAACCGCUUUCGCCUGUGACGAAGCGUGAGUGACGGUAAUGGGUAAAGAAGCACCGGCUAACUACGUG